CCUUAGAAAAUCACGGUUACAAUUUCUUGGAUUUCCUUCCUUUUGUUUCUCACGCAAAAAGCGUUCCUUCCACUUCCCCACCUUCUAACGGCAGAUUUCUCACACAAACCGUGUUCCUUCCCCUUCCCCACAUUCUAACAGAGGACUAUCAAAAUGCUGUCCACCAUAACGCCCAAACCCAUUCUUAAUCGCCUUUACUCUAUAACACCAACCCUUUCUAUAUCCCCUCCUUUUGCUCUACCUGUGUUCCACGGUUUCAAAACUUUAGCCCUUCAGCUAACUAACGCCAACCUCUCUCUCUUCCAAAGACAGUUUCAAAACUUCAGACCUUUGGCUUUCUAAAACAGUAUAUUUGAUGAUUCACUUCAGACCUUUAAAACUUGAAUGCAGCACUAGGUGAGAGCUAUUGAAGAGGGGGCAGAUUUCAUAGAAACAGACAUCCUCGGCAGUUAAGAUGGAGUGCUGAUAUGCUCCCAUGUGUAACACUGGAUCUCGAAAAUAGAACAAAUAUUGCAAACUUCAAUCAGUUUGCUGAUCGAAAAAGAACUUAUGAGGUCCAAGGUGUGACUAUGACUGGGUGUUACUAUGGUGAGAAUUACAAAAAGAGUCAUUAAUACUUUACUUUGCCAGAAUAUAUUUUAGCAAGCCUGGGAAAAAUGGCAUUCUAAGUGUGGAUGCACGUCCCUCAGAUGCCAUAAAUGUGGCAAAUAGAUGCAAGGCACCAAUAUUUGUAAGUAGACAAAUUGUCUUGGAAGAUGCUGUUAAAAUCGGUUAUGGGAUGGGCAGAAAACGUGAUACUAAAUCUACUUAUGAUGUGUCCCUUGACAGGUGAAUAUCUUUGCAGUUCUUGCAGUCGCUAAUUUUUUUUCCCUCUCCAUCGCAACAUGAAGUUUGUGAGUUUUUUCCUGCAUAAUUAACAUAUAUGAACAUAGCUAGCUAUGUACCUAUUUCUCUGUUUAUAUGAUUGAAUUCCUAUUUCAGGUGAUUCAAUUAAUUUUGUAUUUUUUUUUCAGACAUGUUUUGAGAAAAGAUGCGGGUUUUAUCUUUUCACUGUGUCAUAUAGUCCAUAUACCUAGGUUUAGGAACAUAUUGUGCGUAUCAUUGAAAUUCUGCAGACAUGUUUACGCAAAGGUGGGGGGUUUUCUAUUUCCCACCAUGUCUCAUAGUUAUUGUAUGUGGAUUUUUUAGGAUGUCACUCGAUUGUCCCAUGGACCUUUCGGCUUUUGCAAUCUUCUCUCCUAAUUAGGUGGGUGUAAAAGUUUCCCACUUUCAAGAAUGUACUUCUUUGGGUUCGGAAUUUUUUGCUAGAAAAAAAAAACACAAAAAAUCAACAAGCCCCUUGAUGCAAAUAAUUUGAUUUAUGCAGUUCCUUGGUACAAAACUGUUAAUAACUCGCACCUGUGGAAUGUCUUUAUUAAUUUAUGCAGUUCCUUGGCACAAAUUUAAAUUCACAACUGAUGUCUAUUACUUAUAAUUCAAUGUAAGGAUUAGAUUAAUAGUAUUGGUUCUUUUGAUUGCUGGUUUUUUUCCCCUCUUUUAUUACUACCUCUUUUGUGUUUUGGGUCUUAUAUGGGUCUGUUCAUUUUUAAGUAUUUGGCUUGGAAUAGACAAUACUUGAAGUAAUUAUUAUUUUUUAUAUAUUACACGUCAUUACAUAAUAUUUAUAUUCCCACGCGUCGCGUGGGUCUGCGGCUAGUUUGAUUUAAUUUAGAAAGCUCAUGAACUAGUUAAAGGUUGCAUUGCCCUGAACAAAUGAAAACCAUGAUUCCUACACGAGGGGAGUACAGUACACAGUUGACCUGGACCCAUGUGACACUGAUCAAGGACCCUCCAAUCAAAUUUAUGGGGCUACUUCAAAUUCAUAUUGCUGAAGUUGAUAUAAGCUUCUCCCCAUCACAACCACAAGAAAAUACUUGUUUUCUUACAAAAUACUAUUCGAUAAGAAAAGCCACAAAGGGUCAGGCUUUCUUUCCUAAUAUUCUUAAGGCCAGGAAACAGAAAAUUGUCAGUUCUACACAACAAACAGGGUUGGUACUCUUAUCUUCACUCCAAAAUAUUUCCAUCCUGAGAGUAAUAAAAAAUGAUCAUUUUUACUAUUACAAGUUACAACAAUCAGCCCGCAACUCUCCACCAUAAAGACAAAUUUGUAUUUUGUUAUUCACAGUUUCACACAUAAUACCAAAUGUCUGUAUUUACUAUGGAUACAAAGAAAUAGCUUUACAUAUAAA